rnacentral:rRNA from 1 species
ACGUAGGGUGCGAGCGUUAAUCGGAAUUACUGGGCGUAAAGCGUGCGCAGGCGGUCGUGCAAGACAGAUGUGAAAUCCCCGGGCUCAACCUGGGAACUGCAUUUGUGACUGCACGGCUUGAGUACGGCAGAGGGGGAUGGAAUUCCGCGUGUGGCAGUGAAAUGCGUAGAUAUGCGGAGGAACACCGAUGGCGAAGGCAGUCCCCUGGGCCUGUACUGACGCUCAUGCACGAAAGCGUGGGGAGCAAACAG